rnacentral:rRNA from 1 species
ACCUGGCUCUAAGAGGGGGACAACAGUUGGAAACGACUGCUAAUACCGCAUAACGUAUCGGGAUGGCAUCUUCCUGAUACCAAAGAUUUUAUCGCUUAGAGAUGGGCUCGCGUCUGAUUAGAUAGUUGGCGGGGUAACGGCCCACCAAGUCGACGAUCAGUAGCCGGACUGAGAGGUUGAACGGCCACAUUGGGACUGAGACACGGCCCAGACUCCUACGGGAGGCAGCAGUGGGGGAUAUUGGACAAUGGGGGCAACCCUGAUCCAGCGACGCCGCGUGAGGGAAGAAGGUUUUCGGAUUGUAAACCUCUGUUGACGGAGAAAAAAAUGAUGGUAUCCGUUUAGAAAGCCACGGCUAACUACGUGCCAGCAGCCGCGGUAAUACGUAGGUGGCAAGCGUUGUCCGGAAUUACUGGGUGUAAAGGGAGUGUAGGCGGGAUAUCAAGUC